UGCAAUAUGGUUCACUUCUCCCUCCAUCUCUUUGCUAUUCACCUUCUUCGUGCAAUUUUUUUUCUUUCUUUCAUAGAAAAUAAUUAAUAUUUGGAUUUUACAUUCACACCCAGCUUGUGCUCGAGCUACCCCCAAACACUGCUUUCAACAGGUAUUUCAAAGAUGUGAUGACCACCAGUGUCAAUGGAUCCUCAGCAAACAAAAAAAGGUCCUCGCAACGCAACAGAGUUUUCUAAUAACAAUGCCAAACAGCGCGAGAUUUAUCGCAAUAUGCCUCUGGCUGAAAAGAAUAUACUUCUGCUGCAAUGACGCAUCAACAAAACAGAAGCAACAACUAAGCGUAUUCUUGAAAAUGCAAACUCUUCGACCCCUGCUAAACCGAUAUGUGUUACCCAAGAUAAUCUUGAUGUUGGAUGUUCUUCCUCUAUUUCAAAAACAGAUAGUAGUUGCUGCCUUUGAUAUUUCUGCGGCAUCAAGUACGCUCCAAAGGGAAAAAAGAGUAGUCCAUUCCGCCCAAGUUUUUGAAAAAUGUAAGAUUGUUAAUCUUUGUUCAUCAUUUAUUACAGAUUAAUUUGUUGUGUGCAUUCAUUUGGUAAAUAUUUAUGUUAGAGCAGAUUCCACAUUAGCCUCCUCAAAUGCGUUAGAUGCUCCAACCUUUGAAAGGGCUUCACCUAUGGUUAAACUUCGGUUCAAUUAUUUCUUCUAACUGCUAUAUAUAUCUCAAGUAAAGAAUAAUAUUAUACUCACAUUAUGCAGCUAUUAAUCGUGGAGCUCUCACCUCAUUGAAUGUCGUUGAAAAAAAAAAGCGAGUCAUCCUUUCUACGCUUUUGAAAAAGGUAAGAGGCGAAGCUAUAGUGUCUUUGAUUGUGUGCCCUUUCUAAACUUUUAUUCAUCAAUAUGUUAUCAAUGAGGUUCAACAUUGGGUACCGCAAAUGAUUCAAGCAUCAGAAUUUUUGAAGCAGUUAUAACCAAUGGCCUUGCAAAGGGUAAAAAAAAACCACUGCUAAUAUUAGUCGGUUGCAAUCUGAUUAUGUUCACUUACAAAAAGUUCUGAAUUGUAAGUUCUCCAGCGCCAAAAAAUUUCAAUAUGAAGCUCCUGGAUUUUGUUGUGGCAAAGGUACGGUCCUUGAUAUGAAAAUCGAGAAUUUACAAAAAGAGAUGCAGUUUCGGUUCGAGAAUAUUAUUGUUAUAAAGUUCAAAUGAGAAAUGAUGAUGAAGAUGAAAUUUUGCAUACAGGAAGAUUAUUACAGCAAUAUUCGGUUGAUGACUACAUAAAGUUAGAAAAGCAAAGAUUGGACUUUGUUUCAUUCAAUCAAGAUUUAUUUAGAAUGAUUAUACUACAAGAACUUGUUGAUACUUGUAAUGUUGGUACCGAAUUCGUUUACAGAUAUGCGCCAACUGCCAUUGCAUUAGUGCUAUUAAUGACUAUUACAUGUAACUCAUCUUGGCCAGAAAUAAAAGAACAUCUAUCAUCCAAUGAUGAGGCACAAAAUAGACCUGAUUUGAUUAGUCGAGUAUUCAGAGCUAAAAUAGAAAAGCUGAAAAUACAUGUAUUGAAGCGAAAUAUCUUUGGAAAGGUUGUUGCUUAUAUGUACAUCGUGGAGUUUUAGAAACGAGGUUUACCCCAUGAUCAUUUUCUUA